UCUUCUUUUACAAAAUGGGCUAAUAGGCUAGGUGUGGUGGCUAACACCUGUAAUACCAACACUUUGGGAGACUGAGGCAGAUGGAUUGCUUAAGUCUAGGAAUUCGAGACCAGCCUGGGCAACAUGGCAGAACCCCGUCUCUAGUGAAAAUACAAAAAAAAUUAGCCAGGCGUGGUGGCACAGACCUGUAGUCCUAUUAAGGAGGCUGAGGUGGGAGGAUCACCUGAGCCUGGGAGGUCAAGGCUACACUGAGCCAAGAUCAUGCCAUUUGAGACAUCAACUGUGACUUGCCUGUGAUUAUUAUAAACAUUUGUUGGUAAAAA
rnacentral:lncRNA from 1 species